UCUGCUGGUUCACACUUGAAACUAUUAAAACUAUUGAAACUAUAAGAAUUGGGACUCUUUUUUCGAAGAAAUUGAAGAUCUAUUUAUGCGUGAAAACAUGUGGCAACGAGAUAGAUCUUGAAGAGAUAAAUACGCAUAAGAUAGAUUACUUACAAAUAUCAAUUAAAUAUUACAAAUAUUCAACAAUUUAUGACAUUUAGUUAUGUUAAGGCUAUUAAUAUUUCAACAAAUCAGUUGUUAAGCUGUUUAAUUAAUUGCAGACAAUUCACAUCAGGCAAAUUAAUCUGGCUACAUAUUACAAGUUACAAGAUAUAUUUUUCGACGAUAGUGAGCCGACGAUGGUUUAACGAACGGCAAGAAUUUCGUCGAAUUUCUUUUCGUCGCUCGCUUGAUGGAAGGCUCACUGCCCAUUCUUUACUCUGAGACGUCGUCGCGUCGACGACGCUGACGAUCGUUUCUGGCGUGAGAUACGCACCUCACGACGGACGCCGUCCCCGACGACUCCGGGCCGCUCGCGAAUAGCGAACGCCAAUGCCGCCGACCGCCGACGAUGAACGACGUCUCUCUUUCGGGCGUGCGCUUGCGAGAGCGAAGGGAAAACGCCGAUUUUAACCGCGCCUCGCGAUAGCGAUAGCGCGCAUUCCCGAGCGAAGCUAUCUCGGGCCGUCGAGCGUGCGCUUGGCACGAUUCGACGGAGCGGAGUCCGCGAGAUGCUGCUACUGGUCCAGCGGCGGUAUUCUUGGUCCUCCACUUUUACAGGUCGGCGAGCGAGCUUUUCCUCGUAGGAAUCGCGGUCAAAGAGACUUUCAGGAAAGUCGGUUUUGCCUUGGAGACCACCAUAUGCUUUGGGAGAUAUCUCGUGUGUCCGGGCGUUCACAUACGUCUUAGGAACCCUCUUACGGUGAUGUCCACAAGGUGAUGUCGGAUCUCGGGAGAUUUCGAGAGGGAAUGUUUCAAUUCGAUACGUUUUUACCAUCUUCGGUUGUAUUCUACAUAUCUGUCUUCCGGUGGAAGAAACCGGACCAUUUUUGUCGCGACUCCGACCGAAUCGACGAACCUGAGGGAAGAAAGAAUUGAGACUUAUUAAUCUUCGUGGUCUGGACCGUCGGGUCUUGCUUACCUCUUGCAACUUUCCGUGUAAAUACGACGACGCGUAAAUAUUCCGUACAACAGCUUCAAAUAUUUUCCUCGAGUCGUUUCGCCUCACGUUUAUUGAAUCGAGCCGCGUCGUAAACUCUCGGGCGCUCUCCUUUAUUGGUGAGCGAGGCACUCGCUCGCUCGCUCGCUUGCGAGCUAAGAUCAUCAAACGCGAAUAUAGCGGAAAUAUACGAAGCGUAGUAAACUAGCACGCGUAUACAUGGUGACUCGUACGGCUUAACGCGCGGAACAUAGAGUAUCGGUUGUUUAAAUCCAAGAAUUUGUUUCAGAUUAAUUCGGGGACCGGGCAAUGAUAAAAAUUAAUACUUAUUGACGCACCGGCACGUUGCGUGAUGCAAGAUCGACGAGACAUAAUGCAAUACCAAUUUAACAUUGCGUCUCUCUAACAUUGUUUCUCUUUCUGAUUAAGCAACUGUAAGAGUUUCUUUUUCCGGUUGAAAAAAUCCUCUUGAAAAACGCUCGUCGUUAAUUCUAAAAUUUCAAUGUUUAAUUUUGAUAAACGAA